AUGCCAUCAAUCGAAUCUUAUUACUUUGCUAUCAACAUUGAAUAUGCAGCUAAACAUCUUAUAACUCGAAAAAUCCAAGUGAAUUAUUUUAUUCAUUCAAAAAAAAGUGCACUAACAACCUUAGAAUGAAAAAUUCAAAAACCCUAAAAUAUAUUGUGUUCCAUGAGUAGAUAGUGAAACUAGAUUGUUUAAGGCUUAAUGUUUUUAGGAACCAAGGUUGCACCAAACUCGACAAUGUAGUCAUAUCGGCCA
rnacentral:lncRNA from 1 species